ACCUGGGUGGCUCAGUUGGUUGGGCGGCUGACUUCAGCUCAGGUCAUGAUCUCGUGCUCUGUGGGUUCGAGCCCCGCAUCAGGCU
rnacentral:tRNA from 1 species